GAUGAACGCUGGCGGCGCGCCUAACACAUGCAAGUCGAACGAUUAAAGCACCUUCGGGUGUGUAUAAAGUGGCGAACGGCUGAGUAACACGUGGGCAACCUGCCCCUUUCAUUGGGAUAGCCACGGGAAACCGUGGAUAAUACCGAAUACUUCGAGACUUCCGCAUGGAAGACUCGAGAAAGCUCCGGCGGCGAGGGAUGGGCCCGCGGCCUGUUAGCUUGUUGGUGGGGUAACGGCCUACCAAGGCAAUGAUGGGUAGCUGGGUUGAGAGACCGACCAGCCAGAUUGGGACUGAGAGACGGCCCAGACUCCUACGGGAGGCAGCAGUGGGGAGUCUUGCACAAUGGGCGAAAGCCUGAUGCAGCGACGCCGCGUGCGGGAUGAAGGCCUUCGGGUUGUAAACCGCUUUCAGCAGGGACGAGGCGAAAGUGACGGUACCUGCAGAAGAAGCCCCGGCUAACUACGUG
rnacentral:rRNA from 1 species